rnacentral:rRNA from 1 species
GAUGAACGCUGGCGGCGUGCCUAAUACAUGCAAGUCGAGCGAACCAAAGAGAGCUUGCUCUCUGAGGUUAGCGGCGGACGGGUGAGUAACACGCGGGUAACCUGCCUGUAAGACGGGGAUAACUUCGGGAAACCGAAGCUAAUACCGGAUGAUAAAGAGAAACGCCUGUUUCUCUUUUGAAAGUCGGCCUUGUGCUGACGCUUACAGAUGGGCCCGCGGCGCAUUAGCUAGUUGGUGAGGUAACGGCUCACCAAGGCGACGAUGCGUAGCCGACCUGAGAGGGGGAGCAGCCACACUGGGACUGAGACACGGCCCAGACUCCUACGGGAGGCAGUAGUAGGGAAUCUUCGGCAAUGGACGAAAGUCUGACCGAGCAACGCCGCGUGUGCGAUGAAGGCCUUCGGGUCGUAAAGCUCUGUUGUCAGAGAAGAACAAGUACCGGAGUAACUGCCGGUACCUUGACGGUACCUGACCAGAAAGCCACGGCUAACUACGUGCCAGCCGCCGCAGUAACAC